rnacentral:lncRNA from 1 species
GGUGGUGCUGGGAGUCUAAGGUAGUUGGAUGUGGUUACUAGGUGAGAUUUAUUGGGAUUGUGUAGUUAGUAAGAGAAUCUGUUCAUAAUUUUGUUUAUCCCAAUUAUUUUUUAUUUCUUUUAUUUUUCUUCCUUUCUCCUUUUCUAACGUUUUUUACACUCCCUUCCUGUCCAAAUUUCUUCUUCUCAGUUCUGCCAUUCACUUUUGAAGGUAAGGGUUGUCGUAGUGUUAUAGGGAGUUUUCUUCUUAUACUUUUGCUUCGAUUAAGAUUGGGUUAAUUUGAUAAAUCAUUUUGGUAGAUGCUCUUCAGGAAAAUCGAGACCCUUCGGUUUUGUAGUGGAGUUUCA